rnacentral:rRNA from 1 species
CCUACGGGAGGCAGCAGUGGGGGAUAUUGCACAAUGGGGGGAACCCUGAUGCAGCGACGCCGCGUGGGUGAAGAAGCGCCUCGGCGCGUAAAGCCCUGUCAGCAGGGAAGAAAAUGACGGUACCUGAAGAAGAAGCCCCGGCUAACUACGUGACAGCAGCCGCGGUAAUACGGAGGGGGCAAGCGUUAUCCGGAUUUACUGGGUGUAAAGGGGGCGCAGACGGCGGUGCAAGCCCGGAGUGAAAGCCCGGGGCCCAACCCCGGGACUGCACUUGGAACUGCGUGGCUUGAGUGCUGGAGAGGCAGUCGGAAGUCCGGGUGUAGCGGUGAAAUGCGUAGAUAUAAGGAGGAACACCAGUGGCGAAGGCGGAUUGCUGGACAGUAACUGACGCUGAGGCGCGAAAGCGUGGGGAGCAAACAGGAUUAGAUACCCUGGUAGUC